AAGUAUACCAUUGGAGCCAACUAUUCAGCAAUACCCCUUAAUGAUGACCAAUCCCCCCUCUCUCUUUCUUUCUCUCAUUGUAAAUGUGUCUUUCCCCAUUGUCUGAGUUAGAGUUUUACUGUUGUGAACAGAUACAAUGACCAAGGCAAACUCUUAUAAAGGACAAUAUUUAAUUAGGACUGGCUUACAGCUUCUGAGGUUCAGUCCAUUAUCAUCAAGGCAGGAAACACAACGCUUUCCAGGCGAGCAUGGCACUGGAAGAGGUGAGAGUUCUAUAUCUUGUUCUGAGGGCCAACAGGAGAAGACUGGCUCCCACGUAGCUAGGACAAGGGUCUCAAAGCCCACUCCCACAGUGACACACUUCCUCUAACAAAGCCACACCUCCAGCUGAACUACUAAAAAGUACUAUCAGUGUUUUAUCAGCACACUUGUCAUUCAAUUGUAAAUUCAGCUUGGGAGUUGCUUACUUUGCUUGCUUCUUUGAAGUGCACAGGGCAUUCCUUAAGGAUAUCUACAUGUUGGUCAUCUAUUUAACCAUAAGGCUAUGUUAAUAUUGUUAACAUCAUUUGCUCAAUAUCUUCUCAUAUUAGCCAGUCAUUACUCAUAUUUAUACUGAAUAUUAUUACCAUGAUGAUUCGACACAUUUCUCUGAAUUAGCAGCACUGUUUGGCUCCGAAAAGUAAAAUCUCCCUCACUUCCCAAGAUCAUCUCAUCUAUAGAUCAUUUCCUUGUUUCUUGGGAGAACUCACAGUUCCAUCUCUUGGGAUCCACUCACUGCUACUGUACAUAACCUUUAAGUCCUCAUUAUCUUUGUCUAAUGCAUGCCUGUUUCUUCUUUAAAUUUUAUGGCAUGUGGCCAAGAAGGUAUCCUGCUGGCCUGACUUUGUAAGAGCUUUGUUCAGUUAAUGAUUUGAAAUCUCAGCAACUGGAUGUUUUAGUUUGGGUUUCUAUUGUCAUGAAGAGACACCAUGACCAGUCAAUUCUUAUAAAGGAAAAUAUUUAACUGGGGGCUGGCAUACAGUUCAGGGGUUUAAGUUCAUUGUCAUCAUGGUGAGAAGCAUGCAGCAAGACAUGGUGCUGGAGAAGGAGCUGAGAGCAUCUGGAUUGGUGGGCAGCAGGAAGAGAGAGUAACACUGGGUCUGGCUUGAGCUUCUGAAACUUCAAAGCCCCACCCCCAGUAACACACUUCCUCCAACAAGACCACACCUACAUUCACGAAGCCAUACUUCCUAAUAAUGCCAUUCCCUGUGAACCUGUGGCGGGGGCAUUUUUAUUAAAACCACCAUGCUUGACAACUCUCCAGUUUGUCCCAGACCAUGCUUUUAAAAUUAGCACAUUGCUCCCACCGUCCAGCAAAAUGCACACCUAUGGCCAUGGAGGGUCAAAAGUCAUAUAGGUCAUUGGUUACCUCAGGCUCCAGUGGUGUGGAGUGCUAAGCAAAUUUAAUAUUUCCCAGCAGUUUAACGAGACUUUGAGAUGCCCAUCUUGAUCAUUGCUUCCUGUCUCGAAUGCCUACUUAUGAAACACUCUUAAGAUUAUUUAUAAAACAAAAUCCAUCUCCCAAUUUGGAAGCACUCUUAGAGCUGCUGGAUGCAACUUAGUCCUGUGAGGGAGCAAUAGAUAUUCUGUUAGAAAGAUCUUACCACCUUAGUCAGACGACCUGACUUCAACCUUCUAGAUGCCACCUUGGUCAUCCAGUGUCUAAAGGAAGGGCUGGCUGAUAGAUUUAAAAACUGGUGAAGAAUCUCCAGGAAGACUCUUCCCCAAUUGUGAAGCUGCAAACCUCCAGAACUGAGGGCGUUAGUGGUGUCAGCAAUAUGCCGAGACAGAUUUCUCUGAUUAGCUUAAAUUUCUUCAACCAAAUUAAGCAAAAAACAACAGCUUCAGAAAUUAAAUGGAACUUUAAAAAACCCAAUUUUAAAUCUGAACUAUGUUGCAAACAGCUUGCCCUCAAAACAAAAGGAUAGAUGGAAGAUUUAAUUUUUAAUUGGUGUGUUUCAUCACAGAUCAGUAUGUAAUCAAUGUAAAGAAUUUCCAUGUUAAUGAGAAAAUAUUAAGAUAAAUUAGAAUUACCCAUCGUCUGAUGGACAAGAUGUGUCUCAGCCAUGUUUUGGUCCAUUUUCUUUGCUUUAUUUUUUCUUUAAUAGAAAAAACAGAGUUCUUUAAAUAACUCUACUUUGUAUAAUCUGAUUGCCUUUCCUUGCUUUUGCCCCCUUUGUUUUUGGUCAGGUCUAGGUAUAGAACUCAGGGUCAGGUAGACAGUACUGGUCCACUCAGUAUUAAACCAACUGAAUGCCAUUGAUGUUUUGUUUUUUGAGAUUUUUUUCACUAAAGUGGUAUAGGAGUUUUUUAAAAAGCUACUUAUACAACAGAAACAAAUUGCAAACAACUCUAUAUACUAAAACAUGACUGUCUCAUAUUCUUAAAAGUCCUCUAAGGCAAGUGUCAGUAGACAGCAGCAAUUUCAUCCACAUUCCCUCAGUGCCAGACUGCAAAUCACAUGGCAAGAGAUAACCGUCAGUGGGAAAGCCUCCAGGCCUUAGUAUGAAAUGUGUUCCCGCUGAAAUCUAGCCUUGAUGGGAGAUGGAUGCUGUCUGAUAAGAAGACUUAAUGGAGAGUAGGGGAUACAGGGAAUGGUGAAUGCACUGUGCAAAUGCCAACAUUGAAGACGAGAUUGAUGCUUGUCGUGACCAGCGAGUCCACCUACACGAGUGCUGCUGGGUGCUGUCUGUCUUCCUCCAUACCACACACAGAUGAGUGUUUUCCUCAUUCAUCUUCUGGGCAUCUUCAAUGGGCAUGAGAAAAAGUCAAUAAAAUUCUCGUGAGCUGAAUUUAGAUCAUCGACUGUUGCCAGGUACAGUUCUUACAAGUGGGAAAACUCUCAACAUGGAAGACGCCCAAAACACAAGGGCGUUUUUUAAUGUUUAAUUUUAAUGGGAAAUGGAAGAGCAAAUAACUUUGAAGGUAAUUUCUGCCAAGGUGCCCAGGUAUUUAGUGCCAAGGAUUUCAUACCUCACAGACUUGUUUGCUGAGAAUAGUGGAUGAGGUAAGCCUGUGGAAGUAACAUCUUCAAGUGCUUUUCUUACAGUGUAGCUGAGGAGGCUAAAAGGCAAAGGAGGUGUCCCUACUUGGGGCAUCUGUGGAAUGGGAUCCACACCAGUCAGGACACACAAAGCCCAACAAACACAUUUAAAGGCCCAGUAACCCACUCAGCAUGACCUCUUUUGUAUAGGAAAGUCAAAAAUAAUGACUUCUAGCAUCAAGUCAGACCUCUGUGUGGAGAGCCACGUCGUUGCCUCAUUUCUCCUGCAUGUUUGAUGCUUUGCCCUGGGAUAAAUGGAAUUGUCUCCAUAAUUCUCACCCCAUUUCUGGACUCGGUGUCCUGUGAAAGAAUUGCAUGCGAAAAUGAUCGUGUUGCUUCUUGGCAACAUCACAGUUUUUUUUUUUCCUAUAACAAAAGUUCCUUCUCUGUUUUAUUUAUAUUUCAUUUCAAAUUGAUAGCCCUGGUCGCUUUAUAUUUAAAAAUAAACACCCUUUUAUUAAAUUAUCAUAACAUGUGGUGACCCUGAUGAGAUGGGCAAGAAAGGGAGACC
rnacentral:lncRNA from 1 species